AAAAAUAAGGUGUUAGUUAAGGUACUGAGCUUCUUCCCCUGCUAGUGAAGUGUUUUGGGUCCUUAUAAUGCAUGUUGAUUUGUUUGUAGUUAUCAUAUGAACGGUGAUUCAAAGUUUGGGUUCUUUGUAUUAUUAAGAAAAUAAACACAAAAGUUCUGGCUUUUUUUUGGGUUUGUUUCUUGUGAAAAUCAUAUUUUUCUGCCUCUUUGUCAUA
rnacentral:misc_RNA from 1 species